UCUGUGCUGCUGUCUGUCUCAGCUUUUGUGGAGCAUCCGUGAGCGUUAAUAGCCCUCUGAAAUAUUUAUGAAACAUUUGUCGAGAGCCGGCGAGUGGGUUGAGUGGAGUGGAAAAAACUUCAACGGAUAUGUCUCCAAGACAGGAAAUCAAUUAAUGAUGGGAUUUCGGUGCGGGUUUGAGGAGAGGGAAAUCUAUCAGUGCAAUGUAGGGCAAACUAACUCAAGAACUCCUCACGAUAUUCCCACUUUAAAGGAAUAUUAAGCUUAACAAUUGCUUUCAAGCAAUUCGCUUGAUGACUUCAUCGUAUAAUUCGAUUCAUUUUGGAUCUUAAAUAGCUGUCAAACCACCCAAAUUAUAUAGCCCCUCGGCAUUACCUCUUGUGUAUGUGUUUGGGGCCUUGUCAAAGGAAAUUAAAAUCGUCAACCCACACGACCCAUCCAAUGAUGAUGAAUUUAUGCGAAAAUUUAAUUAUUCCCCGACAAACAGAGACCAGAGGAAAAUGCGAAAAAAUGUAUCGAUGAAAAAUUAAUGUCGAUUGGGAGGCGAUACCAAUAAAUCAAUGCACAAACAAAAGAAAAGAGGACGGCGGUUGGCGGUCGUCGGAUGGCAGAACAGUCGCCGCAAAGUUUAAUGAAGAAUGAUAAAAUAAAAAAACGAGGAAAAGUAAAUGACGUUAAAUGAAAAUAUUAAAAGUGGCAAGAGGCUAAA